rnacentral:rRNA from 1 species
UAAGGAAUAUUGGUCAAUGGACGAAAGUCUGAACCAGCCAUGCCGCGUGAGGGAUGAAGGUCCUCUGGAUUGUAAACCUCUUUUAUCAGGGAAGAAAUGUCUCGUUUCUACGGGAUUUGACGGUACCUGAGGAAUAAGCACCGGCUAACUCCGUGCCAGCAGCCGCGGUAAUACGGAGGGUGCAAGCGUUAUCCGGAUUUACUGGGUUUAAAGGGUGCGUAGGCGGGUCUUUAAGUCAGUGGUGAAAUCCUCCUGCUCAACGGGAGAACUGCCAUUGAUACUAUUGAUCUUGAAUUCAGUUGAGGUGGGCAGAAUGUGUCGUGUAGCGGUGAAAUGCUUAGAUAUGACACAGAAUACCGAUUGCGAAGGCAGCUCGCUAAACUGACAUUGACGCUGAGGCACGAAAGCGUGGGGAUCAAACAGGAUUAGAUACCCGUGUAGUCC